rnacentral:rRNA from 1 species
CAGUAGCCACGGGAAUACGGAGGGUGCAAGCGUUAAUCGGAAUUACUGGGCGUAAAGCGUGCGUAGGCGGUUCGUUAAGUCUGUUGUGAAAGCCCCGGGCUCAACCUGGGAAUGGCAAUGGAUACUGGCGAGCUAGAGUGUGUCAGAGGAUGGUGGAAUUCCCGGUGUAGCGGUGAAAUGCGUAGAGAUCGGGAGGAACAUCAGUGGCGAAGGCGGCCAUCUGGGACAACACUGACGCUGAGGCACGAAAGCGUGGGGAGCAAACAGGAUUAGAGACCCCUGUAGUCCCUGUCUCUUAUAC